CAGUAGCCACGGUAAUACGUAGGUGGCAAGCGUUGUCCGGAAUUAUUGGGCGUAAAGGGCUCGCAGGCGGUUUCUUAAGUCUGAUGUGAAAGCCCCCGGCUCAACCGGGGAGGGUCAUUGGAAACUGGGAGACUUGAGUGCAGAAGAGGAGAGUGGAAUUCCACGUGUAGCGGUGAAAUGCGUAGAGAUGUGGAGGAACACCAGUGGCGAAGGCGACUCUCUGGUCUGUAACUGACGCUGAGGAGCGAAAGCGUGGGGAGCGAACAGGAUUAGAUACCCCUGUAGUCCCUGUCUCUUAUAA
rnacentral:rRNA from 1 species